rfam:Oryza glumipatula chromosome 10, whole genome shotgun sequence.
AAAAAAACAAACCCUAGAUUUCCGUACCAACGUUUGACUGUCCGUAUUAUAUAAAUUUUUUUUAUAAUUAGUAUUUUUAUUAUUGUUAGAUGAUAAAAUAUGAUUAAUACUUUAUGCGUGACUUAUCUUUUUAAUUUUUUAUAAUUUUUUUCAAAAAGACGGACGGUCAAGCGUUGGACACGGAAACCAGGGUUUGUCUUUUU